GCAUGGUUCAAUCAUAAAAGGUGGCUUUUAGCUACCACUUACAGAUGGACCCGCGGCGCAUUAGCUAGUUGGUGAGGUAACGGCUCACCAAGGCGACGAUGCGUAGCCGACCUGAGAGGGUGAUCGGCCACACUGGGACUGAGACACGGCCCAGACUCCUACGGGAGGCAGCAGUAGGGAAUCUUCCGCAAUGGACGAAAGUCUGACGGAGCAACGCCGCGUGAGUGAUGAAGGUUUUCGGAUCGUAAAACUCUGUUGUUAGGGAAGAACAAGUACCGUUCGAAUAGGGCGGCACCUUGACGGUACCUAACCAGAAAGCCACGGCUAACUACGUGCCAGCAGCCGCGGUAAUACGUAGGUGGCAAGCGUUGUCCGGAAUUAUUGGGCGUAAAGCGCGCGCAGGCGGUUUCUUAAGUCUGAUGUGAAAGCCCCCGGCUCAACCGGGGAGGGUCAUUGGAAACUGGGGAACUUGAGUGCAGAAGAGGAGAGUGGAAUUCCACGUGUAGCGGUGAAAUGCGUAGAGAUGUGGAGGAACACCAGUGGCGAAGGCGACUCUCUGGUCUGUAA
rnacentral:rRNA from 1 species